GUUGGUUUUUACAAUAGGAAGCGUACAGUGUUUUUAUGACUACACACAUAUAGAUAUCACACAGUGGCUAUACAAACACACAACUUUAUUUUAGUAAUGCAUUUCUUCAUUUUAUUUCUGCAUUUUGGACAGACUCCAGGCUAUGCUGAUUGAUCAGAAUACAUCCUCCUCGGUAAUCAGAAUCUACAUUAGAAAAGUCUUAGGCCUCUCUACCCUUGAGUAAAGACACACCCGUCUACCUAUUACAUUCCUUUCCAGAUGACAUGCCUAUUCAAGGCAAGGCUCUGAUCAUCUCAUUCAUGGUGACAUCUCAUCUACAUUAAUUAGACCACUUCCAUAAGACAGUGUGGCAUCUCAUGACAGCAAAUUCGAUCUAUACUUCAGUGGAAAGCCAAGCAAACAGAUCAGAGGAAGUAAGUGCACUUUCAAAUGUACCCUUAGAUAAUGAGCAUCUAAUGGUUUAAAGAAACAAUACCACGUGUUGUAAUUUUUAAUCUAGAUCCGUCACUGCUUUGUAUCAAAACCCUACAUCCAUUAAAAUUUU